GAUGAACGCUGGCGGCGUGCCUAAUACAUGCAAGUCGAGCGAACAGAUAAGGAGCUUGCUCCUUUGACGUUAGCGGCGGACGGGUGAGUAACACGUGGGUAACCUACCUAUAAGACUGGAAUAACUCCGGGAAACCGGGGCUAAUGCCGGAUAACAUUUAGAACCGCAUGGUUCUAAAGUGAAAGAUGGUUUUGCUAUCACUUAUAGAUGGACCCGCGCCGUAUUAGCUAGUUGGUAAGGUAACGGCUUAUCAAGGCAACAAUACGUAGCCGACCUGAGAGGGUGAUCGGCCACACUGGAACUGAGACACGGUCCAGACUCCUACGGGAGGCAGCAGUAGGGAAUCUUCCGCAAUGGGCGAAAGCCUGACGGAGCAACGCCGCGUGAGUGAUGAAGGUCUGCGGAUCGUAAAACUCUGUUAUUAGGGAAGAACAAAUGUGUAAGUAACUGUGCACGUCUUGACGGUACCUAAUCAGAAAGCCACGGCUAACUACGU
rnacentral:rRNA from 1 species